rnacentral:rRNA from 1 species
CGACGUGAGUAACCUGCCUUGGAGUGGGGAAUAACAGUUGGAAACAGCUGCUAAUACCGCAUAAUAUGUCUGUGUCGCAUGGCACUGGGCAUCAAAGAUUUAUCGCUCUGAGAUGGACUCGCGUCUGAUUAGCUAGUUGGCGGGGUAACGGCCCACCAAGGCGACGAUCAGUAGCCGGACUGAGAGGUUGGCCGGCCACAUUGGGACUGAGACACGGCCCAGACUCCUACGGGAGGCAGCAG